rnacentral:rRNA from 1 species
CCUACGGGGGGCAGCAGUGGGGAAUAUUGGACAAUGGGGGGAACCCUGAUCGAGCCAUGCCGCGUGUGUGAAGAAGGCCCUCGGGUUGUAAAGCACUUUCAGUGAGGAAGAACGCCUGGUGGUGAAUAUCUAUCAGGAAAGACAUCACUCACAGAAGAAGCACCGGCUAACUCCGUGCCAGCAGCCGCGGUAAUACGGAGGGUGCGAGCGUUAAUCGGAAUUACUGGGCGUAAAGCGCGCGUAGGUGGCUUGAUAAGCCGGUUGUGAAAGCCCCGGGCUCAACCUGGGAACGGCAUCCGGAACUGUCAAGCUAGAGUGCAGGAGAGGAAGGUAGAACUCCCGGUGUAGCGGUGAAAUGCGUAGAGAUCUGGAGGAAUACCAGUGGCGAAGGCGGCCUUCUGGACUGAAACUGACACUGAGGUGCGAAAGCGUGGGUAGCAAACAGGAUUAGAUACCCUUGUAGUC